rnacentral:rRNA from 1 species
UGCCAGUGACACUAAGUUCAACGGCCGCGGUAUUUUGACCGUGCAAAGGUAGCGCAAUCACUUGUCUUUUAAAUGAAGACCCGUAUGAAUGGCAUAACGAGGGCUUAACUGUCUCCUUUUUCAAGUCAAUGAAAUUGAUCUCCCCGUGCAGAAGCGAGGAUAACAACAUAAGACGAGAAGACCCUAUGGAGCUUUAGACACCAGAGUAGCCCUUGUCAAAGACCCCCAGUAAAAGGGCAAAACCAAAAGGACCCUACUCCCCUGUCUUUGGUUGGGGCGACCGCGGGGAAUACAAAACCCCCAUGUGGAAUGGGAGAACCCCUCCUGAAACCAAGAGCCACGGCUCUAAGCAAUAGAACAUCUAACCAAAAGAUCCGGCAUGGCCGAUCAACGAACCGAGUUACCCUAGGGAUAACAGCGCAAUCCCCUUCUAGAGUCCAUAUCGACAAGGGGGUUUACGACCUCGAUGUUGGAUCAGGACAUCCUAAUGGUGCAGCCGCUAUUAAGGGUUCGUUUGUUCAACGAUUAAAGUCCUACGUGAUCU